UACGUAGGGGGCUAGCGUUGUCCGGAAUCAUUGGGCGUAAAGCGCGCGUAGGCGGCCAGAUAAGUCCGGCGUGAAAGUCACAGGCUCAACCUGUGAAUGCCGCUGGAAACUGUCUGGCUAGAGUCCGGAAGGGGCGAGUGGAAUUCCUGGUGUAGCGGUGAAAUGCGCAGAUAUCAGGAAGAACACCCGUGGCUAAGGCGGUUCUCUAGUACGGUACUGACGCUGAGACGCGAAAGCGUGGGGAGCGAACAGG
rnacentral:rRNA from 1 species